rnacentral:rRNA from 1 species
CGAAGGGGCUAGCGUUGCUCGGAAUUACUGGGCGUAAAGGGCGCGUAGGCGGCUUGGUUAGUCAGGCGUGAAAUUCCCGGGCUUAACCUGGGGACUGCGCUUGAUACUGCUGGGCUUGAGGGUGGAAGAGGGUCGUGGAAUUCCCAGUGUAGAGGUGAAAUUCGUAGAUAUUGGGAAGAACACCGGUGGCGAAGGCGGCGACCUGGUCCAUUACUGACGCUGAGGCGCGACAGCGUGGGGAGCAAACAGGAUU